rfam:Oryza meridionalis cultivar OR44 (W2112) chromosome 1, whole genome shotgun sequence.
AAAAAGGUAAACUGUGGGUUCCUGUGCCAUCGUUUGACUGUCCAUCUUAUAUGAAUAGAUGAUAAAAUAUGAUUAAUACUUUAUGUGUGACUUGUCCUUUUAAUUUUUUUUAUAAUUUUUUUAAAUAAGACGGACGGUCAAACGUUGGACAGGGAAACCAGGGUUUGUCUUUUC